GGCAGCAAGGCCGGGAGCUAGGGGUUCCCGAUCCGCAAAUCCCCUUCAGGCGGGCCACAUGCCGUUCGAGUGCUGCAUAGUUGUGCAGGGCCCAUGCGGAAGCGUCGAUGUUUCGCCUCUGGUGGUAGUUGCAUAUUCGAACCGGGCCAGGCCGGAAGGAGCAACCCUAAGUUUAUGUACUCUAUGCUCCAGAGAUACGGAGCGGAGUGGAAGCGUGGAUAACUCUGCAACGCUGUGCCGUGCAAGGCGGCUGCUGCC
rnacentral:SRP_RNA from 1 species